rnacentral:rRNA from 1 species
GACGAACGCUGGCGGCGUGCUUAACACAUGCAAGUCGAGCGGAAAGGCCACUUCGGUGGUACUCGAGCGGCGAACGGGUGAGUAACACGUGAGUAAUCUGCCCCAGGCUCUGGGAUAGCCACCGGAAACGGUGAUUAAUACCGGAUACGACAACUUCCUGCAUGGGAUGGUUGUGGAAAGUUUUUCGGCCUGGGAUGUGCUCGCGGCCUAUCAGCUUGUUGGUGAGGUAAUGGCUCACCAAGGCUUCGACGGGUAGCCGGCCUGAGAGGGUGACCGGCCACACUGGGACUGAGACACGGCCCAGACUCCUACGGGAGGCAGCAGUGGGGAAUAUUGGACAAUGGGCGGAAGCCUGAUCCAGCAACGCCGCGUGAGGGAUGACGGCCUUCGGGUUGUAAACCUCUUUCAGCACAGACGAAGCGCAAGUGACGGUAUGUGCAGAAGAAGGACCGGCCAACUACGUGCCAGCCGCCGCAGUAAGAC